UGGGGAAUAUUGGACAAUGGGCGAAAGCCUGAUCCAGCCAUGCCGCGUGUGUGAAGAAGGUCUUCGGAUUGUAAAGCACUUUAAGUUGGGAGGAAGGGUUGUAGAUUAAUACUCUGCAAUUUUGACGUUACCGACAGAAUAAGCACCGGCUAACUCUGUGCCAGCAGCCGCGGUAAUACAGAGGGUGCAAGCGUUAAUCGGAAUUACUGGGCGUAAAGCGCGCGUAGGUGGUUUGUUAAGUUGGAUGUGAAAGCCCCGGGCUCAACCUGGGAACUGCAUUCAAAACUGACAAGCUAGAGUAUGGUAGAGGGUGGUGGAAUUUCCUGUGUAGCGGUGAAAUGCGUAGAUAUAGGAAGGAACACCAGUGGCGAAGGCGACCACCUGGACUGAUACUGACACUGAGGUGCGAAAGCGUGGGGAGCAAACAG
rnacentral:rRNA from 1 species